UACGGGGGGGGCAAGCGUUGUUCGGAAUUACUGGGCGUAAAGGGUUCGUAGGUGGCUUCUUAAGUCAGACGUGAAAUCUCACAGCUUAACUGUGAAACUGCAUUGGAUACUAUCCGGCUCGAGGAAUGGAGGGGAGACUGGAAUACUUGGUGUAGCAGUGAAAUGCGUAGAUAUCAAGUGGAACACCAGUGGCGAAGGCGAGUCUCUGGACAUUUCCUGACGCUGAGGCACGAAAGCCAGGGGAGCAAACGGG
rnacentral:rRNA from 1 species